rnacentral:rRNA from 1 species
AGUGAACGCUGGCGGUAGGCCUAACACAUGCAGGUCGAACGGCAGCACAGUAAGAGCUUGCUCUUACGGGUGGCGAGUGGCGGACGGGUGAGGAAUACAUCGGAAUCUACUUUUUCGUGGGGGAUAACGUAGGGAAACUUAUGCUAAUACCGCAUACGACCUACGGGUGAAAGCAGGGGAUCUUCGGACCUUGCGCGAUUGAAUGAGCCGAUGUCGGAUUAGCUAGUUGGCGGGGUAAAGGCCCACCAAGGCGACGAUCCGUAGCUGGUCUGAGAGGAUGAUCAGCCACACUGGAACUGAGACACGGUCCAGACUCCUACGGGAGGCAGCAGUGGGGAAUAUUGGACAAUGGGCGCAAGCCUGAUCCAGCCAUACCGCGUGGGUGAAGAAGGCCUUCGGGUUGUAAAGCCCUUUUGUUGGGAAAGAAAAGCAGCAGGUUAAUACCCCGCUGUUCUGACGGUACCCAAAGAAUAAGCACCGGCUAACUUCGUG